GGAUAACUUACCCUUAGGACUGGGAUAACUCUGGGAUACUGGGGAUAAUACUGGAUAUUAGGCUAUGCCUGGAAUGGUUUGCCUUUGAAAUGUUUUUUCGCCUAAGGAUAGGUCUGCGGCUGAUUAGGUCGUUGGUGGGGUAAUGGCCCACCAAGCCGAUGAUCGGUACGGGUUGUGAGAGCAAGGGCCCGGAGAUGGAACCCGAGACAAGGUUCCAGACCCUACGGGGUGCAGCAGGCGCGAAACCUCCGCAAUGUACGAAAGUGCGACGGGGGGAUCCCAAGUGUUAUGCUUUUUUGUAUGACUUUUCAUUAGUGUAAAAAGCUUUUAGAAUAAGAGCUGGGCAAGACCGGUGCCAGCCGCCGCGGUAACACCGGCAGCUCGAGUGGUAGCUGUUUUUAUUGGGCCUAAAGCGUUCGUAGCCGGUUUGAUAAGUCUUUGGUGAAAGCUUGUAGCUUAACUAUAAGAAUUGCUGGAGAUACUAUUAGACUUGAAGUCGGGAGAGGUUAGAGGUACUACCGGGGUAGGGGUGAAAUCCUAUAAUCCUGGGAGGACCACCUGUGGCGAAGGCGUCUAACUGGAACGAUCUUGACGGUGAGUAACGAAAGCCAGGGGCGCGAACCGGAUUAGAUACCCGGGUAGUCCUGGCCGUAAACGAUGUGGACUUGGUGUUGGAAUGGCUUUGAGUUGUUCCGGUGCCGAAGGGAAGCUGUUAAGUCCACCGCCUGGGAAGUACGGUCGCAAGACUGAAACUUAA
rnacentral:rRNA from 1 species